rnacentral:rRNA from 1 species
AAGCGUUUAUGACCAGACUUUUUCCAGGCGGAUCAUCCGGUGUUCUCACCGGUGCACUUCGUCUGGUUGAGGCCAGCAUCGGUUUUCGUAGAGGGAUAAAAGCAGUAGGAAUGUGGUUCCUCCGGGAAUGUUAUAGCCUAUUGUAUAAUACCUUUACGGGGACCGAGGUUCGCGCUCUGCAAGGAUGCUGGCGUAAUGGUCAUCAACGA